ensembl:rRNA 5S_rRNA 5S ribosomal RNA
GUCUAUGGCCAUAUCACUGUAAAUGUGCCUAAUUUCUGGUUAGUGCUUAGAUGGGAGACCACCCGGGAAUACUGGGUGCUGUAGGCU